rnacentral:lncRNA from 1 species
GUCUUGGUGUGUUUCCUGGGCUGGACUCAAAUGCCUGGACUGAAGUGAUCCUCCCACCCCAGCCUCUCAAGUAACUGGGGCUACAGGCACAAGCUACCACAUCUGGCCAGCCAAGGAAUAUUUAAACGGCAUCUAACUUUGAUAAAUAUGCUAGAAGUUGAAUGCUUUUUGUGGAUGUUGCAAAUUAGGCCAGGCAGAACCAAUGGUGUGCUCAAACCUGGCCAUUCUUAUCUAGAAACUUCUGAAAGAAGCCAGAUCAUAUCAAGGGCAGAUAAAGCAAUGAAUUUCUCUUCCAAAGGUGCACAUUCCUGGGAAACAGAAAGAAGAGGAAACACAAAGGAACGCAAUAAACUCAAUAUAUUUUUUCUCAGUAUGUUUCAAGUUUCUAUUUUAGAGGGGCAUUGUACCGGUUUUGAGGACAAAACGGAAGACAGUCUGUACUCUCAAUUCUUUCUGAGAGAAACACAUGAAUUCCCAGUUCCAAAGAAGAAGAAAGGAAUUCCUAAGUGAUAUAGGAUAAUUUUAUAACUGAAGCAUCAUCAGUUUUCUUGUUAAUGAUUUUCUUCAUUGCUAUGAACUGAAUUAUAUCCGUC